UGCGUAGGUGGUGAGGUAAGUCGGAUGUGAAAUCUCCGAGCUCAACUCGGAAAAUGCAUUGGAAACUACCUUGCUCGAGGGUUGGAGGGGGGACUGGAAUGCUUGGUGUAGCAGUGAAAUGCGUAGAUAUCAAGCGGAACACCAGUGGCGAAGGCGAGUCCCUGGACAACUCCUGACACUGAGGCACGAAAGCUAGGGAGCAAACA
rnacentral:rRNA from 1 species